GCCAGAGUAGCUCAGCUGGUAGAGCAACGGUUUUGUAAACCGUAGGUCAGGAGUUCGAAUCUCCUCUCUGGCU
rnacentral:tRNA from 1 species